CGGGGCCUACGGGACGCAGCAGUGAGGAAUAUUGGUCAAUGGCCGGGAGGCUGAACCAGCCAAGUCGCGUGAGGGAAGACGGCCCUACGGGUUGUAAACCUCUUUUGUCAGGGAGCAAGAGGCGGGUCGAGACCUGCUGUGAGAGUACCUGAAGAAAAAGCAUCGGCUAACUCCGUGCCAGCAGCCGCGGUAAUACGGAGGAUGCGAGCGUUAUCCGGAUUUUUUUGGGUUAAAGGGGG
rnacentral:rRNA from 1 species